CCGCAAGGCUAAAACUCAAAGGAAUUGACGGGGGCCCGCACAAGCGGCGGAGCAUGCGGAUUAAUUCGAUGCAACGCGAAGAACCUUACCAAGGCUUGACAUAUACCGGAAACGUUCAGAAAUGUUCGCCCCGCAAGGUCGGUAUACAGGUGGUGCAUGGUUGUCGUCAGCUCGUGUCGUGAGAUGUUGGGUUAAGUCCCGCAACGAGCGCAACCCUCGUCGUAUGUUGCCAGCACGUAAUGGUGGGAACUCAUAUGAGACUGCCGGGGUCAACUCGGAGGAAGGUGGGGAUGACGUCAAAUCAUCAUGCCCCUUAUGUCUUGGGCUUCACGCAUGCUACAAUGGCUGGUACAAUGGGCUGCAAUACCGCGAGGUGGAGCGAAUCCCAAAAAGCCAGUCUCAGUUCGGAUUGGGGUCUGCAACUCGACCCCAUGAAGUCGGAGUCGCUAGUAAUCGCAGAUCAGCAACGCUGCGGUGAAUACGUUCCCGGGCCUUGUACACACCGCCCGUCAAGUCAUGAAAGUCGGUAACACCCGAAGCCGGUGGCCUAACCUUUUGGAGGGAGCCGUCGAAGGUGGGAUCGGUAAUUAGGACU
rnacentral:rRNA from 1 species